UUUAAACUUUCUAUUUCUGCCAUAAAAACGUUUCCUUUAUAACAUAUGUACGAAUAUUUAUUACAAAAACACUUUUUUGCUUCUUCACCAAACACUAGUUUGCUUCUUCUCCAAGCAUCUUAAAACCUCAAUCUUCCUCUUCUUUUAAAACACUAAACCAAGCUCCUUCUUGUUCCAAUUCAUCUUCUCUCCUCCUUCGUUCUCGCCCCCUAUAUGCCUGUGCUCACUUCAGCUCACGUUCCUCUCCCAGUUCUUUUCUUUUCCGGCCAGACUUUUUCAUCGGAGUUUCCGGAAACGGUAUAACUUCAGCCACUCAAGCCGCUUCUCGUUCUCGUGGACAACUCUUACCUCUUUCUC